rnacentral:lncRNA from 1 species
GACAGUUCCCAGAUGAGCACAUACCAAUGUGUGUUGUUGUGGUUUUCCCUCCAAAGAUACAACAAAGAGGCUGUUCUCCUUGUACGAACUUCAACUUGCUUGAACACCAGAAAACAAUCAGUAAGUGAGGGAUUUGAAAAAGGAAGAAGUCUGACAGGAGACUACAAUGGGACAUAUACAGUAACAAGCUGUUGAAAACAAUCAUGAAAUUUCCAUUUAACAGGAAGCACUCCAGGACUAGAAGUACUGCUUCUAAGCAUCUGCAUCUGGACAUGCACUUUGGCAGCAUCCUGAUCCCACAUCGGAGGUCAAGCCUAUACAUGCAUCAGCUUUACCCACCUGUUUUUUAUGCUUUAGAUGUGAAAAAAAGGAAGUCUAAACAUUUGCACUGGGAGGAAGCCUCAGUGCACUCUGUCCAGAUCUCUGAUCUUGAUGGCUGGAGGAGCAAGGUUCUAAGAUCCAUCAAGAGUUUACUUUUCCCCUGCUCUGAAGUAAAAAGCCACCACGAUUUUGAUGGAAGGACCAGCGAGAAAUCUGGAAAGUCUGUCCACAAGAGGUGAUACUUAGACAUGAAAUUGGAAUGAGUCCUGAAGAACAAAUUCCAGCACCAGUCUGGCAGAAGGGAAACAAACACAUAAAACACAGGUCCGCCACAGCCUGACUAGAAUGCUUGGACUCAACAUUUUGACAUACACCUUAGAUGAUCAAAGUACUCUCUGUACGCUUUCUUGUCCUUUGUACAAAAAUGAAUUUUACUACAAUUGUGUAAUGAAUGUUCACGAAACAUGCAGCAAGGGCGUAUACAUACAAAUGUGUACAGAUCUUUUUGUUAAGGUAAAUGGAAUUGGAUGAUCGCACUUAAUGGUAACGAUACCCAUUCGGUGAUUUAAUUGCUUCUCUAUACACCAUCUGUAUCUGUCUUUUUAUCAAUAAAACAAACAGCAGAAUUUGGUUGCUUGAUAAC